rnacentral:lncRNA from 1 species
AUUGGCCAAGGGAAAUCAUGUGGCCACACCUUCCUUCGAAAGCGCAGCGCGGGCCGCCCAGCGCUCCUGGACCGGGUGGUGGUGAGGGCGCCAGCGUCUGCCCACAUGCCUGCCCUGCCUGUUCAGCCUGGUGGGAAUCCCCGUCCAGGAGUGCAAGCCGGUGGGAACCAACUGCCUGCUUGAUUUACUUCAUCCUUGAAGUGCUGCCCCAUGGGAAAAGAUGGUGUGUAGCUACUGAAGACCCUGAGAAGCCACGUGACACAGGAAUUAUUCAUCUUGGUUGGCUCAGUGCUUCUAGAACUUAUUUGAUGAAAGAAUAUUACUUUUCUUCCUAGAAGUUUUUCAGAGACACAAUUGGGGAAGCAGUUCUGUCUCUCUGUCUAUACACACACGAGAUAAGCAGGCACCUAUAACACGCUGUUUGUAUAUGAGCAGAAGUACACAGAAGGACGGUUCCAUAUCACACGCGUGCAUGUACAUGGCCAGCAGUGCUGUCACUCGGCCCUGGGGACAGUGAGUGGAGCCAACCGAGUGCCCGCCCAGUGCAACCGGCAUCCGCUGGCCAAAGGGAGAGGCCGCGGCAGGUGCAGUGGGCAGCGUCCAGGGUUUGCUCAGCACCCCUGUUCGGGGACUGCUUCCCCUCGCUCGCGCACCGCCCAAUAGUUGCAGCAGGAAAUGCCGUGUCUCUGUGCUCUGGAGCCCCUGCCCACAUGACUACGAAGCCUGGCCAAUGAGUUUCUUCCCCAGGAGCUUUGGAUCCACAAUGGAAAGCCCUGAGGGUAAAGUGUAAGUGUGGUACAGAGAGAGAAGCUGAGACAGAGAUGCAGGAGCGAAGCAUUCCCGAGGAACCCAUCGGAGUCUCCUCCUGAGGCCCAGCUGCAUCCUCAACUUGGAGCCCGUGAGCUCUCCUCCAACCACCAAUAAGUCUUCUUCCUCUGUCCUGCUCUUUCGCUGGUAUUGGCUCCUACUUCUUGCAAACUGACUAAUACUCCAGGGCAGGAGGAACGUAAUGGAUGAGUCAGAGACGGCAGGGAGCAAAGACUGGAACUCUCAGCCCACUCACUCCUCACCUUCCAUCCCCCAGGCUCUCUGUUUCAUCCCUCUGUAUUUUCAGUUGAAAGAAGGUAUAGUUUUCAUGGGAGGAACAGAAACUGAUUCUGCAGCAUGAGAUGCUGAGGAAUCUUGCAUUUAGAUUUCGUCAGUCUAUCAAAAUUUGAUUACUUUCAAUAAAUGCUUUCAAAUUGUCCCACUUUUUCUAUAAGUGCUUUGAGCUGCUCAUAUAUUAUAUCACACUUUGCUUCUCAAAGUUCUCUCCUUUUAAGACCUCUUGAGCUUUUCUCGGAGGGAAGUAUUUCAGGCGGCUUAUUCCUUUCCAGUACAAACAUUAUGUGCCCUGUUAAAGCUCGUUGCCAUUGUGGUUGCUUGGCGGUUGGCAGGGGAGUAUCAGAAAG